GGGUGGGGAUGCUCAGCAGCAGCUCCAAGGAACAGAAUUGGGAUGGAUCCCACAGGGACAGAGCCCCCAGGUGCCCCAGUGCCACCAGUGCCACCCUCUGGGUCAUUGGGACCAGUCAGACCACCCUGCAUGGCGUUGGACCCAUCUGAUGGGGAUGGGAUGGGUGGUGCUGCCCCUUGCAGCCUUCACAGGGUCACUGAGGCUGGAAAAAACCUCUGGAAUCACUGAUCCCAUUGAGCAAAAGUAGCAAUCAUUAAAUCAUUUUAAAGGAAUCAAUCAUUGAGUCCAUCCUGUGCCCCAUCCCAGAGCACCGAGUGCCACAUCCAGACCUUCCCUGGGCACCUGCAGGGAUGGGCAGUGCCUGGCCACCAUUCCAUGGGGAAAUUCCUGCUGGUGUCCAAGCUGGCCCUCCCCUCUCUCCUGACCCUGUUCCCUGGCCUGUCUCCCCUGUCAGGAGAUGUGGAGAGCAUUAAAAUCUUCCCUCAUCCUCCUUUUCCCAGCCUUGGCAUCUCCCCUGUGUUUCUCCAAGCACGUUCCUGGAGGUAAUCCUGGCCCAGCUGAAGCCAUUGAGGAUUUUGCCACUGACUUCAUCCCUGCUGGCUCCUGGACUUGCCAAAAACCCUCUGAGGAAUCCACCCUGGUCCAUUUUACCUCGCCCACCCAACACCUGCAGGAGUGGCCAGUGAGCUGUGAGGGCAAAACCGUGUCUGAAGAGGUUUAAAAAGGCACAGGGGAGCCUUUAAUGCUGGGAAAACAUUUAACUGCAGCUUCUGCAGUAUUUAACAGGGCUUCAAACCCCUCUGAUUAUCCCUGGCGUUGGCUUUUGUCGAUCCUUUGGUUGGCUAACGUGUCCCUUUCAGCUUUGGUGACAAUAAAAUGUGAGUAAGCAGAAAACUCGAAUUUCUG
rnacentral:lncRNA from 1 species